GCGCUCGUGGCGGAACUGGCAGACGCGCAUGGCUCAGGACCAUGUGGGCGCAAGCCCUUGGAGGUUCGAAUCCUCUCGAGCGCA
rnacentral:tRNA from 1 species